rnacentral:rRNA from 1 species
UUUGUGAACUUAUACCUACUGUUGCCUCGGCGUCAGGCCGGCCCCUUCACUGGGGCCCCCCGGAGACGGGGAGCAGCCCGCCGGCGGCCAACUAAACUCUUGUUUCUAUAGUGAAUCUCUGAGUAAAAAACAUAAAUGAAUCAAAACUUUCAACAACGGAUCUCUUGGUUCUGGCAUCGAUGAAGAACGCAGCGAAAUGCGAUAAGUAAUGUGAAUUGCAGAAUUCAGUGAAUCAUCGAAUCUUUGAACGCACAUUGCGCCCCCUGGUAUUCCGGGGGGCAUGCCUGUUCGAGCGUCAUUUCAACCCUCAAGCCUGGCUUGGUGAUGGGGCACUGCUUCGAGAGGAGCAGGCCCUGAAAUUCAGUGGCGAGCUCGCCAGGACCCCGAGCGUAGUAGUUAUAUCUCGCUUUGGAAGGCCCUGGCGGUGCCCUGCCGUUAAACCCCCAACUUCUGAAAAUUUGACCUCGGAUCAGGUAGGAAUACCCGCUGAACUUAAG